rnacentral:rRNA from 1 species
GUGCCAGCAGCCGCGGUAAUACCGGCAGCCCGAGUGAUGGCCGAUCUUAUUGGGCCUAAAGCGUCCGUAGCUGGCCGCGCAAGUCCAUCGGGAAAUCCACCCGCCCAACGGGUGGCCGUCCGGUGGAAACUGCACGGCUUGGGACCGGAAGGCGCGACGGGUACGUCCGGGGUAGGAGUGAAAUCCUGUAAUCCUGGACGGACCGCCGGUGGCGAAAGCGCCUCGGGAAGACGGACCCGACAGUGAGGGACGAAAGCUGGGAUCUCGAACCGGAUUAGAUACCCCAGUAGUCC